CUGAGUAAGCUCCAAACUCAAUCCAUACUCCAAGUAACAGACUUAGGAUGUUCAAUAUUGAAAUUCUUUGGCAUCAAUUUAAAAAGAAAC
rfam:Callithrix jacchus chromosome 1, whole genome shotgun sequence